rnacentral:rRNA from 1 species
CAGCCGCCACGGUAAUACGAAGGGUGCAAGCGUUACUCGGAAUUACUGGGCGUAAAGCGUGCGUAGGCGGUGAGUUAAGUCUGCUGUGAAAUCCCCGGGCUCAACCUGGGAAUGGCAGUGGAUACUGGCUCGCUAGAGUGUGUCAGAGGAUGGUGGAAUUCCCGGUGUAGCGGUGAAAUGUGUAGAGAUCGGGAGGAACAUCAGUGGCGAAGGCGGCCAUCUGGGACAACACUGACGCUGAGGCACGAAAGCGUGGGGAGCAAACAGGAUUAGAUACCCGAGUAGUCCCUGUCUCUUAUAC